ACUUCUCUUGUAUCAAAAAUGAGUAAACUGACAGGCAUGGUGGUAUGCACUCUUAGUCUCAGCUACUCAGUUCUGGGCUGUAGUGUGCUAUGCCAAGCAGGCAUCUGCACUAAGUUUGGCAUUAAUAUGGUAACCACUUGGGAAGGGAAACCACCAGGUUGCCUAAGGAGGGGUGAACUGGUCCAGGUUGGAAAUAGAGCAGGUCAAAACUCCCAUGCUGAUCAGUAGUGGGAUGGCACCUGUGAAUAGCCACUGCCCUCCAACCUGGGCAACAUAUCAAGACUCCAU
ensembl:misc_RNA Metazoa_SRP Metazoan signal recognition particle RNA